GAAAAGAAACCAACAGGGAUUGCCUUAGUAACGGCGAGUGAAGCGGCAAAAGCUCAAAUUUGAAAUCUGGCACCUUCGGUGUUCGAGUUGUAAUUUGGAGAGGCAUCUUCUGGAGGGGCCCAGCCUAUGUGCCUUGGAACAGGACAUCAUAGAGGGUGAGAAUCCCGUUCUUGGCUGGAUGUUCCCUCCUGUAUGUAGUGUCUUCUACGAGUCGAGUUGUUUGGGAAUGCAGCUCAAAAUGGGUGGUAAAUUUCAUCUAAAGCUAAAUAUUGGCGAGAGACCGAUAGCGCACAAGUAGAGUGAUCGAAAGAUGAAAAGCACUUUGAAAAUAGAGUCAAACAGUACGUGAAAUUGUUGAAAGGGAAGCGCUUAGGACCAGACUCAGCCUUUGGUGGACAUCCGCCCAUCGGGGCGGUGCACUUGUCAUUGGUUGGGCCAGCAUGGGUUGGGACGGUGGGAUAAAGGCUCGGGAAAUGUGACUCCUUUAUGGAGUGUUAUAGUCCCGGGUGGCAUGCCACCAGUCCCGACUGUGGAACGCGCAUCGGCACGGAUGCUGGCAUAAUGGUUUUC
rnacentral:rRNA from 1 species